rnacentral:lncRNA from 10 species
CUUGAAUGCUGCUUGUCGCUAAAGCCAUCGCUGGCAUUUCCAGACAUUGUCAAUAUCUACUGGACUAAAGAAAUUCUCUACUAAUCAGAAAAGGAAUUGGUCUGUAUUGAAGCUGGAAAGAAAAUCAGAGGAGCCAAUGCUGUCAGAGUGCAUCCAAGGACCAUUUAAAGAUGUCCUGGCCGGAGGUCUGGGCUGUCAGGUCCUGCCAGCAGAGACAGGAUCUCACUGCUGGUCUUGAACUCCUGGAUGCAAGUAAUCUUCCCAACUUGGCCUCCCAAAGUGCUGGGAUUAUAGCCAUGAGCCACCGCACCUGGCCAGAAAUAUCUUUAAAGCAGGAAGAAGGAAAUGAUGCAUUACCUAUAAGAAGAAAUGAUUACCUAUAGAAGAAAAUGAUUCAAAUGCAACUGAUUUCUCAUUGUCUGCACAUAAGAAACCAGCAAAAUGUAUUUCAAGUGCUGAAUAUAAAGAAAUGCCAAGCUAGAAUUCCAUCAUCAAUAAAAAUACAUCAUAGCAUCACUUUGUACUUCAUAAAUAUAUACAAUUAUCAUUUGUCAAUAUUCAAUUAAAAACAGAAUGAACAGAAUGAAGAGGACAUGGAGGCAUUUUCAGAUGAAGAGAAACUAACAGGAUUUUUCAGCAGACUUACUCUAAAUGAAUGGCUACAGGAAAUACUAUAAAAAUAAAGGAAAUGAUAAAAGAAGAAACUUUGUAACAUCAAGAAAGAAGGAAGAACCACCAGUAAACAAAAAUAUGGGUAAAUAAAAUAAAAUUUUUUUUAACUUCUUUAGUUUUCUCUAUUAUCUUUGAUGGUUGAAACAAAAAUUGUAACACUAUCUGAUGUGGUUCUAAACGUAUGCACAGGAAAUACUCAAGAUAACUAUAUCAUAAGUCGGGGAGGGUAAAAGAACAUAAAGGAAAGUAAGGUUUCUGUACUUUACUCAAACUGGUAAAUGAAAAACUGGCAGGCUGUGAUAAAUUACAUGCAUUUAAUGCGAUACCUAGAGCAACCACUAAAAAAAAAAAAAAGCUAUGCAAAGAGAUACAUUCAAAUGCUAUGGAAAAAUAAAAAUGAAAUUUAAAAAAUGUUCAAGAAAGCCACAGGGAGGUAAGAAAAACCAAACAGAAAAAUGGAAAGCAAAGAGGAUAAACAGAAAACAAAAAAGAAAAUGGCAGAAUUAAGCUCUAACACAUAAUUAAUUACAUUAACUAUAAAUGGUCUAGAUAUACAAAAUAAAAGAGAUUGGCAGGGUUGUUUAACAAACAUGACUAAAUUAUAUUCUAUCUGAAGGAAACUAACUUCAAAUAGAAUUAUAAAUGUAUGAUAAAGGAUAUAUUAUGCAAAUAUUAACCAAAGAAAACAAGAGUAACUUUAUUAAUGGUAGAUAAAGUAUACUUCAGAACAAAGACAAUUACCAGAGAUAGAGAUAUUAUAUAAUGACAAAAGGGUCAAUCUAUUAAGAAUAGCAAUUUUAAAUGUGUAUGCAUCGAACAAAAAAGCUGCAAAGCAUGUGAAGCAAAAACUGAUAUAAUUGAAGGGAGAAAUUUUAAAAAGUCUACAAGUAUAGUUAGACACAUCAACCCCUCUCUUGACAAAUAAUAGAACAACUAGACAGAAAAUUAGCAAGAAUAUAGAAGAACUCAACACUACCUUCAACCAACAGGAUCUAGUCAAUACUUACAGAAUAUCCAAACCAACAAUAGUAGAAUAUAUUUUGUUUCCAAGUGCUCACAGAACAUAUGCAAGAUAGACCAUAUCCUCAGCUACACAACAAACCUCAACACAUUCAAAAAAUUGAAAGCAUACAAAAUGUAUUCUCCUAUAGCAAUGGAAUCACACUAGAAAUCAAUAACAGAAAGACAAUAGGAAAAUCUCUAAACACUUGGCAACAAAAAGACAUACUCCAAAAUAAUUCGUGGUUCAAAGAGGGAGUCUCAUGGGAAAUUAAAAAAAAGUUUCAGCUGAAUGAAAGUGAAAACAACAUAUCAAAAUUUGUGGGAUACAGCUAAAGUAAUGCUGGGAGGGCAAUUUAUAGCACAAAAUGCAUAUGUUACAAAAGAGGAAAGGUCUCAAGUCAAUAAUUUAAGCUCUUACCUUCAGAAUCUAGAAAAAGAAGAGCAAAAUAAACCUAAAGCAAGCAGGAGGAAAGAAAUAAUAAAGAAAACAGCUGAAAUCAAUGAAACUGAAAACAGAAAAACAAAUGAGAAAAUCAUUGAAACGAAGAGCUGGUUCUUUGAAAUGAGAAACAAAGUUGACAAACUUCUAGCAUGACUGACAAAGUAAAAAGAAGAUAGCAAUAUUUGGAAUGGAAGAUAUCACUGCAUAUCCUGCAGACAUCAAAAGGAUAUUUAGGGCAUUUUACACCACAGAUUUGACAACACAGACAAAAUAGACCAAUUUUCUUUAAAAAAAAAACACCAGUGACUUCAACUUACCCAAUAUGAAAUGGAUAAUUUGAAUAGUAGUAUAAUUAUUAAAAAAUUAAAUUGAUAACUGAAAAAACCCACAAAACAAAUUUCCAGGCCCAAAUGGUUUCACUGGAGAAUUUUAUAAAAUACUUAAUGAAUUAAGACCAAUUCUUUUGGGAGGCUGAGGUGGGC